GACGAACGCUGGCGGCGUGCCUAAUACAUGCAAGUUGAGCGCUGAAGGUUGGUACUUGUACCAACUGGAUGAGCAGCGAACGGGUGAGUAACGCGUGGGGAAUCUGCCUUUGAGCGGGGGACAACAUUUGGAAACGAAUGCUAAUACCGCAUAAAAACUUUAAACACAAGUUUUAAGUUUGAAAGAUGCAAUUGCAUCACUCAAAGAUGAUCCCGCGUUGUAUUAGCUAGUUGGUGAGGUAAAGGCUCACCAAGGCGAUGAUACAUAGCCGACCUGAGAGGGUGAUCGGCCACAUUGGGACUGGGACACGGCCCAAGCUCCUACGGGAGGCAGCAGUAGGGAAUCUUCGGCAAUGGACGAAAGUCUGACCGAGCAACGCCGCGUGAGUGAAGAAGGUUUUCGGGUCGUAAAACUCUGUUGGUAGAGAAGAACGUUGGUGAGAGUGGAAAGCUCAUCAAGUGACGGUAACUACCCAGAAAGGGACGGCUAACUACGUG
rnacentral:rRNA from 1 species